rnacentral:snoRNA from 1 species
ACGACCUUACUUGAACAGGAUAGGUUCUAUAGGAUCGUACUACUGUGUCCUUAUAUUCUAAGGAGACAGGAACCUAGAUCUGGUGGAUGAAUCAUGAUCGUGUGAUCAGAGCCUGAUUAACGGUUCUGUGACGGUUG